rnacentral:lncRNA from 10 species
UUGGUGGAGUGAUUUGUCUGGUUAAUUCCAAUAACCAACGAGACUCUGGCAUGCUAACUAGUUACGUGACCCCCGAGCGGUCGGCGUCCCCCAACUUCUUAGAGGGACAAGUGGCCUUCAGCCACCCGAAAUUGAGCAAUAACAGAUCUGUGAUGCCCUUAGAUGUCCGGGACUGCACGCGCGCUACACUGACUGGCUCAGCGUGUGCCUACCCUACGUGGCAGAGGCGGGUAACCUGUUGAACCUCAUUCGUGAUGGGGAUGGGGGAUUGCAAUUAUUCCCCAUGAAGGAGGAAUUUCCAGUAAGUGCGGGUCAUAAGCUUGCCU